UAGAGGAUUGGAGAGGUAGCUGGAAUUCUUGGUGUAGCAGUGAAAUGCGUGGAGAUCAAGAGGAACACUCGUGGCGAAAGCGAGCUACUGGACAAUAUCUGACGCUGAGGCUCGAAGGCCAGGGUAGCGAAAGGGAUUAGAUACCCCUGUAGUCCUGGCAGUAAACGGUGCACGCUUGGUGUGAGGGGAAUCGACCCCCCUUGUGCCGGAGCUAACGCGUUAAGCAUGCCGCCUGGGAAGUACGGUCGCAAGACUAAAACUCAAAGAAAUUGACGGGGACCCGCACAAGCGGUGGAGUAUGUGGCUUAAUUCGAUGCAACGCGAAGAACCUUACCAAGGCUUGACAUGGAUUUCUAAGCACGUGAAAGCGUGUGACCCUUCGGGGAACUUCCACAGGUGCUGCAUGGCCGUCGUCAGCUCGUGUCGUGAGAUGUUGGGUUAAGUCCCGCAACGAGCGCAACCCUUGUGACUAGUUGCCAGCACGUAAUGGUGGGAACUCUAGUCAGACUGCCCAGAUCAACUGGGAGGAAGGUGGGGACGACGUCAGGUCAGUAUGGCCCUUACGCCUUGGGCUGCACACGUACUACAAUGCCCAGCACAAUGAGAACCGAGACCGCGAGGUGGAGGAAAUCUAAAAAACUGGGCCCAGUUCGGAUUGGAGGCUGCAACUCGCCUCCAUGAAGUUGGAAUCGCUAGUAAUGGCGCAUCAUCUACGGCGCCGUGAAUACGUUCCCGGGUCUUGUACACACCGCCCGUCACAUCAUGGAAGCCGGUCGCACCCGAAGUGCCUGUGCCAACCG
rnacentral:rRNA from 1 species